rnacentral:rRNA from 1 species
GCGCCUUGAUGGUACUAAUUGAAUAAGUGACAGCUAACUAUGUGCCAGCAGCUGCGGUAAAACAUAGGUCACGAGCAUUAUCCGGAUUUAUUGGGCGUAAAGGAAGCGUAGGUGGGGAGGUUGAUCCAUUGUUAAAGGCAUUUGCUUAACAAAUGUGUGCGAUGGAGAUCGCCUCCCUAGAGUUAAUCAGGGGGUACUGGAAUUCAAUGUGUAGCGGUGGAAUGCGUAGAUAUAUUGAGGAACACCAGAGGCUAAGGCGAGUACCUAGGAUAUAACUGACACUGAGGCUUGAAAGCGUGGGGAGCAAAUGGGAUUAGAUACCCCAGUAGUCCACGCCGUAAACGAUGGGCAUUAGGUAUUUGACAUCUAGUCGAGUGCUGUAGCUAACGCGUUAAAUGCCCCGCCUGGGUAGUAUAUAUGCAAAUAUGAAACUCAAAGAAAUUGACGGGGACCUGAACAAGUGGUGGAGCAUGUUGCUUAAUUCGAUAAUACACGAAAAACCUUACCAAGGCUUGCAAUCUACUGCAAAGCUAUAGAAAUAUAGUGGAGGCAAUCAGUAAGAC